AACGCGAAGAACCUUACCUACCCUUGACAUGCCAGGAAUCCUGAAGAGAUUUGGGAGUGCUCGAAAGAGAGCCUGGACACAGGUGCUGCAUGGCCGUCGUCAGCUCGUGUCGUGAGAUGUUGGGUUAAGUCCCGCAACGAGCGCAACCCUUGUCAUUAGUUGCUACGAAAGGGCACUCUAAUGAGACUGCCGGUGACAAACCGGAGGAAGGUGGGGAUGACGUCAGGUCAUCAUGGCCCUUAUGGGUAGGGCUACACACGUCAUACAAUGGCCGGGACAGAGGGCUGCCAACCCGCGAGGGGGAGCUAAUCCCAGAAACCCGGUCGUAGUCCGGAUCGUAGUCUGCAACUCGACUGCGUGAAGUCGGAAUCGCUAGUAAUCGCGGAUCAGCUUGCCGCGGUGAAUACGUUCCCGGGUCUUGUACACACCG
rnacentral:rRNA from 1 species